GGGAGAAAGGACUUCAAAUCAUAUACCCAUGCAUGAUCAAUCAUGUGACUUCUUGGGGUUUUGAGCUCUAGUCAUAGAAUAAAAGUAAUGAACCUGCCAGUAUUUCCCAAAAUGUGUUCCCUGUUGAUUAUAUGUUUGGUAAUAAAGGUAUCCCCAUCACACUGUUGUGUCUGUUAUCUUUCAGGGUCCUCUCCCUUUGGACUUUAGGAGGUAUGCAAAUGAGACAGAGAUAACAAGAGCA
rnacentral:lncRNA from 1 species